UACGUAGGGGGCAAGCGUUGUCCGGAAUCAUUGGGCGUAAAGAGCGUGUAGGCGGCCAGAAAAGUCCGCUGUGAAAACUCGAGGCUCAACUUCGAGCUGUCGGUGGAAACUUUCUGGCUAGAGUCCGGAAGAGGAGAAUGGAAUUCCUGGUGUAGCGGUGAAAUGCGCAGAUAUCAGGAAGAACACCCGUGGCGCAAGCGGCCACCUGGCAGAGCACUGACGCUGAGGCACGAAAGCGUGGGUAGCGAACCGG
rnacentral:rRNA from 1 species